CUCAUUGACGAACGCUGGCGGCGUGCUUAACACAUGCAAGUCGAACGGAAAGGCCCUGCUUUUGUGGGGUGCUCGAGUGGCGAACGGGUGAGUAACACGUGAGUAACCUGCCCUUGACUUUGGGAUAACUUCAGGAAACUGGGGCUAAUACCGGAUAGGAGCUCCUGCUGCAUGGUGGGGGUUGGAAAGUUUCGGCGGUUGGGGAUGGACUCGCGGCUUAUCAGCUUGUUGGUGGGGUAGUGGCUUACCAAGGCUUUGACGGGUAGCCGGCCUGAGAGGGUGACCGGCCACAUUGGGACUGAGAUACGGCCCAGACUCCUACGGGAGGCAGCAGUGGGGAAUAUUGCACAAUGGGCGGAAGCCUGAUGCAGCAACGCCGCGUGCGGGAUGACGGCCUUCGGGUUGUAAACCGCUUUCGCCUGUGACGAAGCGUGAGUGACGGUAAUGGGUAAAGAAGCACCGGCUAACUACGUGCCAGCAGCCGCGGUGAUACGUAGGGUGCGAGCGUUGUCCGGAUUUAUUGGGCGUAAAGGGCUCGUAGGUGGUUGAUCGCGUCGGAAGUGUAAUCUUGGGGCUUAACCCUGAGCGUGCUUUCGAUACGGGUUGACUUGAGGAAGGUAGGGGAGAAUGGAAUUCCUGGUGGAGCGGUGGAAUGCGCAGAUAUCAGGAGGAACACCAGUGGCGAAGGCGGUUCUCUGGGCCUUUCCUGACGCUGAGGAGCGAAAGCGUGGGGAGCGAACAGGCUUAGAUACCCUGGUAGUCCACGCUGUAAACGGUGGGUACUAGGUGUGGGGUCCAUUCCACGGGUUCCGUGCCGUAGCUAACGCUUUAAGUACCCCGCCUGGGGAGUACGGCCGCAAGGCUAAAACUCA
rnacentral:rRNA from 1 species